GCGGCCUAUCAGCUUGUUGGUGAGGUAGUGGCUCACCAAGGCGACGACGGGUAGCCGGCCUGAGAGGGCGACCGGCCACACUGGGACUGAGACACGGCCCAGACUCCUACGGGAGGCAGCAGUGGGGAAUAUUGCGCAAUGGGCGAAAGCCUGACGCAGCAACGCCGCGUGCGGGAUGAAGGCCUUCGGGUUGUAAACCGCUUUCAGCAGGGAAGAAGCCGCAAGGUGACGGUACCUGCAGAAGAAGCACCGGCUAACUACGUGCCAGCAGCCGCGGUAAUACGUAGGGUGCAAGCGUUGUCCGGAUUUAUUGGGCGUAAAGAGCUCGUAGGCGGUCUGUUACGUCGGUUGUGAAAACUCGGGGCUUAACCCCGAGCCUGCAUCCGAUACGGGCAGACUUGAGUGUGGUAGGGGAGACUGGAAUUCCU
rnacentral:rRNA from 1 species